CACUUGAGGUCCUGGGUGAUGAUGGAGCCCAGAAAACGGAAGGAAUCCACAAUAGUGACGAGGGAGUUGCACAGGGUAAUGGGGGAAGGUGGGGCUCUGUUCCUCCGGAAAUCCACAACCAUCUCCACUGUCUUUAGAGCAUUGAGCUCCAGGUUGUUCGGGCUGCACCACGACAUCAGAUGGUCAGACUCCCACCUGUAGGCGGACUCAUCCCCACCAGAGAUCAGUCCAAUGAGGGUGGUCAAGUCAAGUCAAGUCAUUUUAUUUUGUAUAGCCCAUAAUCGCAAAUUACAAAUUUGCCUCAGAGGGCUUUACAGUCUGUACACAUACAACAUCCUCUGCCCCGAAACCCACCAUCGGCACAGGAAAAACUCCCCAAAAAAUGAAAAAACCCUUACAAGAGGGAAAAAAGGGAAGAAACCUUAGGGAGAACGUCAGAGGAGGGAUCCCACUCCCGGGAUGGACAGACUACAAUGGAUGCCAUGUGUACAGAAUAAACAAUGUAUAAUACAUGCAAUUCCUAUGACAGAAAUGAUUCAAGUAAUUGUGAGUAGUAAGCCAGGCGCACAGCAGGACCACUGCAGGGGCAACCACCAUCAGAUAGAACCACCAUCCACAGAAGCCUGUGGGGAGGGAGAGCACAGAGAUUUUAGGAGAGGGUAAUGUCGGUUUAUGAGUACAGUAAUAUGAUUAAUAUCUAAAAUAAAAUAGAUGGUUUUUACACUAUGUUACCAUAAAAUGGAUUACUGUAUGUUACCAUAAACUUGAGCGAAUUCUACUGUGAAUUAACAGCAAUUUACUGGCAGUCGACACUAGUAACUUACUGUUUUAUUUACAGUGCACUACCGUAAUUUACGACAUGUUGGAUUACAAAUUGUUACCACACGAUUACAUACAAACGUUACAGUUUACUUAUAACCGUAUACUUUUGCAUUUAAUUCCCCACAAAUUAAAGAAAGACAACCAAACUCAUUUCGGUCAUCGUGGUAGGAGUUUAUUAGAUGCCUUCAAGACAAAAAUGUUAGGCAUUUGUAACCAAGAACAAAACAUAAAUUAUGCCGCAUGUAUACAAUAAUAAAAAAAUUAAUCAUAAAAUUAUUAGGAACAAGGUAAACUAACUGCCACAAUACGCUAUGAAACAUUUUCAAUUGACCGCAGCAAACGGCUGGUGUCCUUAAUCCAGUGCCUCUGUAAAACAAACCCAAAUUAAAUAUUUAGAAACACUGUCAUUGGUAAAAUAUAAAAAUGACAAAGUUGAGGAAGACAACAAGAUGUAGGAAAGGAGAAUGUUAAUCAUGCUAGGCAAAUAACACUUACCAACGUUACUUGGAGCGACGAGGCAAUGAGAAACUCCUCCCAUGUUGAACUGCACUGACAGGUGUUCUGGAUGAACUGAGAUUACGCGUUUCAC
ensembl:lncRNA